rnacentral:rRNA from 3 species
GUCCUCUUGAUUAUAUUUUGAGGUCUGGCCUGCUCACUGACAAGUUUUUAAAGAGCCGCGGUAUUUUGACCGUGCAAAGGUAGCAUAAUCAUUAGUCUCUUAAUUAGGGGCUGGAAUGAAUGGCUUGACGAGAAAUUAACUGUCUCUUAUUAAAUUAUAGAAUUUAACUUUUGAGUUAAAAGGCUUAAAUUUUUCUUAAAGACGAGAAGACCCUAUAGAGCUUGACAUUUUAUUUUUAUAUAAUUUUUAGAUAAUCUUUUUAUAUUUAAAGAUAAUGUUUUGUUGGGGUGACAUGAAGAAUAAAUAAACUCUUCAUUAUAAAAUCAUUGAUUUAUGUUUAUUUUGAUCCAUAAUUUAUGAUCAUAAGAUUAAGUUACCUUAGGGAUAACAGCGUAAUUGUUUUUGAGAGCUCAUAUUGACAAAGCAGAUUGCGACCUCGAUGUUGGAUUAAGAAUAAUUUUGGGUGCAGGAGCCCAAUAAUUAGGUCUGUUCGACCUUUAAAUCUU